GUGGCCCUCGCGUUACUUCAAACCAUCACUGAGAUUGUUUCUGACCGUAGUCAGGCAGGUCCUGCCUCUCCCUGCUCUUCCUGUCUGUGUCCCAGCAUCUGAGAGCAGUCCUGUUUUAGUACUUCUGAGCAUGGUAUUUACAUAGAGGAGGUCCAGCCUAGGGUCCUAUAGACAAGAUGUUGAAGCGCCGAAGAUCAGAGCACCUGAGGGCCAUUGUGGUUCUCACUCCAGGCUAAGAAAUCUGGAUGUUCCAACCUUAUCUGCAGCUGAGCAAGUCUGCAAGAAGAAGACUUAAUUUACCAGAGUCUUAAAACAGACAAACACUGCUGAUCUUUCUUUAUUAUUCUGUCUAUAUUUCACAAUAAAUUAAUUUUAUAAAACUCUGGGUUAAUAAGAACUUUGGAAUUCUGCAGUGUUCACAGAAGCCCUCAACCCCUUCUGAAAAUGAGAGUAAAUUAAACUUAAUGGUUCAUUUAUCCUCAGUAUUAUCCACCCAUUUCAAAUAUGACUUAAUGUGGAGACAAUGGAACUACAACACUAGAACAUCACACGGGAUGCUCCAUGAUCUUUCUCUCAUUUUGCAAGUUGGCUCCCAGGCCCGUGUGCCUCCACCCACAUUUUUGAAGCAGAUCAGAAGUGCUUGGAAGGCCCAGCCUGGGACCAUGGACCAAGGGCUUGCCCUGUUGAGGAAGGUGUAUCGCUGAUGAGAAAAAAAUCCAUCAUUUAUUCAUGCUCAAGUGCAAUUUACUACUGGAUGUGAAAGACUUAUAUACAGUAAUUUAUCUUCAUUAAUUAAACUCUAAAGGGGUUGAUAGGUCAGCAAGGCCCUGCACAGUGAUACAUCCCCAGUAAUAGCCAGAAUUUAUUAAUAAUGGAGUAAAGCUGAAGCAGAAUAGCCACAUCCCAUUCUUAUUUACUAGUCUUCCAGUAAAGUUUAAAGUCAGUUAA